UCAAACUUGGUCAUUUAGAGGAAGUAAAAGUCGUAACAAGGUUUCCGUAGGUGAACCUGCGGAAGGAUCAUUAUUGAAUAAAUUUGGCUUAGAUUGCUGCUGGCUUUUUAAAAAGCAUGUGCACAUCUAUUCCACUUUUAAACCUCCUGUGCAUAUUGUGUAGACUUGAAAAAACAACUUUCAAGAGAGUAUCUCUCGGUUUUGAAGAUUGCUGUGCUGAAAUAGCCAGCUUCUUCUGUAUUUUUCAAGUCUAUGUUUAUUCUAAUACACCUUGAUGAAAUAUAUUGGAAUGUUUUGAUAGGCUUUGUGCCUGUAAAACUGAAUACAACUUUCAACAACGGAUCUCUUGGCUCUCGCAUCGAUGAAGAACGCAGC
rnacentral:misc_RNA from 1 species